rnacentral:rRNA from 1 species
CGGUACCUACGGGAGGCAGCAGUGGGGAAUAUUGGGCAAUGGGCGCAAGCCUGACCCAGCAACGCCGCGUGAAGGAAGAAGGCUUUCGGGUUGUAAACUUCUUUUCUCAGGGACGAAGCAAGUGACGGUACCUGAGGAAUAAGCCACGGCUAACUACGUGCCAGCAGCCGCGGUAAUACGUAGGUGGCAAGCGUUAUCCGGAUUUACUGGGUGUAAAGGGCGUGUAGGCGGGAAAGCAAGUCAGAAGUGAAAGCCCGGGGCUCAACUCCGGGACUGCUUUUGAAACUGUUGAACUAGAUUGCAGG